CAUUCCGCGGUAGCAUUAAAUGCGGUAGCUACCGGGAGGUAACACGAUGUCGAUGCCAUCCCUUGGACCUGUACGUCGGUCAUGCUCGAAGCGUGGCAUCAACAGGGUUUUUUCCGGGUAGUCCACGCCCUAAACGAUGUCAACGGGUUGUUGGACCGCUUGCUGUUCAGUAACGAAGCUAACGCGUGAAGUUGUCCGCCUGGGGAGUACGGCCGCAAGGUUGAAACUCAAAGAAAUUGACGGGGACCCGCACAAGCGGUGGAUGAUGUGGUUUAAUUCGAUGCAACGCGAAAAACCUUACCUACCCUUGGCAUGUCCAGAAGUUACCAGAGAUGGUUUCGUGCUCGAAAGAGAACUGGAACACAGGUGCUGCAUGGCCGUCGUCAGCUCGUGUCGUGAGAUGUUGCGUUAAGUCCCGCAACGAGCGCAACCCUUAUCAUUAGUUGCUACGUAAGGGCACUCUAAUGAGACUCCCGGUGACAAACCGGAGGAAGGUGGGGAUGACGUCAGGUCAUCAUGGCCCUUAUGGGUAGGGCUACACACGUCAUACAAUGGCCGGUACAGAGGGCCGCCAACCCGCGAGGGGGAGCUAAUCUCAGAAAACCGGUCGUAGUCCGGAUCGCAGUCUGCAACUCGACUGCGUGAAGUCGGAAUCGCUAGUAAUCGCGGAUCAGCUUGCCGCGGUGAAUACGUUCCCGGGUCUUGUACACACCGCCCGUCACACCAUGGGAGCGGGUUCUGCCAGAAGUAGUUAGCCUAACCGCAAGGAGGGCGAUUACCACGGCAGGGUUCGUGACUGGGGUGAAGUCGUAACAAGGUAACCA
rnacentral:rRNA from 1 species